GGCCAACCCAGCAGACGGAGUCUUCUCCAUAUUUCACUUAAUAGCUUUCUGCCAUUUGAGGACCCAGCAUUCCUCCACUCUGAAAGAGGCUCCCUUUUGGAAGCAGAGAACAGCCUUCACCAGAUGCUGGCACUUAAUCUUGGACUUCCAGGCCUCCAGAACGAAACAAUUUCUAUGUAAUGUUUCAAUGGAAGUUAAAGGUACAGAGUUCUUUGGAAAGAAUGAAAAUGUUAAUACUUCAGCACUAGUAAUUCAGACUCACAAAAUUCCUAUUUCAUGGUCUUCCAAUGGUGCGAUUUAUUCAACGCUUUAUUUGUGCUUGUUUCAUCAUCACUGAAGCCAUUUCCCACCACCAUUUCAUCUCAGCUAAAAUUUUCUUGGCAAUAUCCAGAGUCUGAGGCCAGGCAAAGUGCAGCAGGAGAGCCGGGAGAGAGCACACAGCCCCUGCCUUCAGAGAGCCGACUACCCCGAGACUUUUCUGGCAAGAGCAUCACCUGCCUAACCUUGCCUCUGGCGGA
rnacentral:lncRNA from 10 species